GCACCGGUGGUGUAUGGUACACACAAUCAACUUCGUAAUGCUAUCGACCUCAAGUAGUGAUUGAGUCCGGGGUUCGAUUCCCCGCUGGUGCA